UACGGGGGGGGGCAAGCGUUGUUCGGAAUUACUGGGCGUAAAGGGCUCGUAGGCGGCCAACUAAGUCAGACGUGAAAUCCCUCAGCUUAACUGGGGAACUGCGUCUGAUACUGGAUGGCUUGAGUUUGGGAGAGGGAUGCGGAAUUCCAGGUGUAGCGGUGAAAUGCGUAGAUAUCUGGAGGAACACCGGUGGCGAAGGCGGCAUCCUGGACCAAUACUGACACUGAGGAGCGAAAGCGUGGGGAGCGAACAGG
rnacentral:rRNA from 1 species